UUCAAACACAAGACGGGAGAACACGUCAAGCAUUUAGAACAGAGCCGGCCCAAGGCAGGGACUCUAUCAACGCUGGUUAUUGUAAUGGUUUCUGCUGUUAAGGAGUUAACUGGGAAAAACAGUAUGUGGCCAAACAGAGCACAUGUGUGAGCCAAGUCCUGCUAUUCUGCAAGGUAAGAAGAGAAGGAGGAGGAGGAAGAGGAGGAAGAGGACGAAGAAGAGGAGGAAUUAACAGCUAUUGGCUAUGUGCAAAAUUCCAGACCUUUCACCACCGAUGUCUGCCAUGUUUCUGCCUUGCAACCAGCUGAGCACUUACUGAAACUAUGAGCCAAAAUAACUCUUUCCUCCUUUAAAGUGUUUACGUCAGACAUUUUGUCCCAACAACUUAAACGUGUGAGCUAGCAGCUACCACAGCCGGCCAUGUGACCUGCCUUACAAGUCUGCAGGAUGCCUCUCAAUUACAGCUGAUUUGCAGAUCCUGGUUCCUGGAGCCCUGGGGCCUUUCUUGUUGGUGACUCAGCAACCAGCCUGGGGGAAACAGGAUGUCAGGCUGCAUUUGGCUUCAGCUGCAUUGGCUGGGUGCGGUGAAGGCUGGUGAGGAGGGCUCCGUGUGGCUCCAGGAGCCAGCUCCUCCUCAUGGCAUCCUGCAUCCUGCGGAGGGUUCCCUGGACGAGGCUGGGAAGCAAAGCAGCCCGGGAGGAAGCACAGGGAGAGUCGGGGGGCUGUGGGGAACCCGCGGCUGUGCACACUCAGGGAUCUGACCCCAUCGCCCCUUGCACCUCGCUUCUGCUCUGUGCUCUCCUCAUGCCAGGACCCACCACUCUCUCCCUUUGCCCUGGGCCUCUGCCCUUGCAGGAACCCCGAACUGUCUUCCCCAGAGAUCUCCAGGAGGUGGGGUCAUCCUCCUCAUUCAGCUCCAAGGCCACCUCCGGGCUCGGGCUCUUCUGACUGCAUUGUGGGCGAGAGCUGCCAUCAGCAAGGCCCACAGACCAGGUGGCUUAAAUGACAGAUGGACAGGGCCGCCAAGCCUUUGCAGGGUGCUGAAGUCGUGAUUCAGCUCUGAACCCAGCCUCACUCCCGCUCCCGGCUGGCACCAGCAGACCCAAACCCACACAUUAUUCAUAAGUCUAAUUUAGCUCAGUGGCCGCAGAGCGUUCUUCUCCGGCUGCCAGCCGGGGCGGCUUUGACCUUGGCUGAGGCCCGUUGCCUAUAGAAUCUCUAAUGUGCUGAUGGCCCAGGGGCCCCGGGGGCUCAGCCAUCUCCCUUCACUCCUGGCCGGGACUCCCUGCUGCUCCUGGGGGCCCUGCGCCUGUGACUCUGCCCGCCCUCCCCACCAGCCGUGGGAAGCUGGGAGCCAGCGCUGGCUCCAGGGGCCAGGCCAUCACCUCACAUCGCCCGCCCUGGCUGCUCAUCUGCGGCCGGGUGGGCUGAGGAUCCUGGGGCGCCUUGAGGGAUCUCACUGCCAGGCUUUUUCUGGAACAUGCAUAAUAAAGAUGAAUGAGCUGCCUGCUCCGGGGCUGGCGC